rnacentral:rRNA from 1 species
GACGAACGCUGGCGGCGUGCCUAAUACAUGCAAGUAGGACGCACAGUUUAUACCGUAGCUUGCUACACCAUAGACUGUGAGUUGCGAACGGGUGAGUAACGUGUAGGUAACCUACCUAUUAGAGGGGGAUAACUAUUGGAAACGAUAGCUAAUACCGCAUAACAGUAUGUAACACAUGUUAGAUGCUUGAAAGAUGCAAUUGCAUCGCUAGUAGAUGGACCUGCGUUGUAUUAGCUAGUAGGUAGGGUAAUGGCCUACCUAGGCAACGAUACAUAGCCGACCUGAGAGGGUGAUCGGCCACACUGGGACUGAGACACGGCCCAGACUCCUACGGGAGGCAGCAGUAGGGAAUCUUCGGCAAUGGGGGGAACCCUGACCGAGCAACGCCGCGUGAGUGAAGAAGGUUUUCGGAUCGUAAAGCUCUGUUGUUAAGGAAGAACGAGUGUGAGAAUGGAAAGUUCAUGCUGUGACGGUACUUAACCAGAAAGGGACGGCUAACUACGUGCCAGCAGCCGCGGUAAUACGUAGGUCCCGAGCGUUGUCCGGAUUUAUUGGGCGUAAAGCGAGCGCAGGCGGUUAGAAAAGUCUGAAGUGAAAGGCAGUGGCUCAACCAUUGUAGGCUUUGGAAACUGUUUAACUUGAGUGCAGAAGGGGAGAGUGGAAUUCCAUGUGUAGCGGUGAAAUGCGUAGAUAUAUGGAGGAACACCGGUGGCGAAAGCGGCUCUCUGGUCUGUAACUGACGCUGAGGCUCGAAAGCGUGGGGAGCGAACAGG